GGCAGGUUAGCUCAGUCGGUUGAGCAUGGCGCUGAUAACAUCAAGGUCGCGGGUUCGAUUCCUGUUCGGUCC
rnacentral:tRNA from 1 species